rnacentral:lncRNA from 1 species
CAGCAGAGAAUGACUGAAACCGUGUAUGUCAGUGCAACAAACAAUUCCACAAAGCGGACUCAAUUCAGGGCAGUAAUAGAUUGACCUGUUAGAUGACCUGGCUUCAGAAGAAAACAGACAGGCUGUCAGGAACUGAUAAUGCAAUAUAAGAUACUGAGCCGUGAGGUUCUUACCUUCAUUUUUGUGGAAACUGAACAGAAAUGUUCAAAAGAAUUCAAUGCUGCCUUUCAAGCAGGAGAACAAGGUUCCAGUGUUGGGAAGGCAUGCUUCAACCAGAGUGGGUGCUAGGCUUUAUGGAGGGAGAAGCUAAGGCAGGCAGCAGAGAAUUUUGCUUUGUACUCACACUUCCCUUUCGUGACAAUUUUUAUAUUCAUUUAAUAUAGUGUGCAGAUCUACCCCCAGGCAAUAACAGGAAAGCCAAGAUUUCCAGCAAGUGGCAUUCCCAGUAUGCUGUUUGUAAGUAACCCUGCAUAAGGACUUGUGCGUAGUUAAAUAAAACAAGAUUUACUUUGUGUUUACUCA